AUGAGUAAGGGUCUCACGGCCCGACCUCCAACCCUUUGUUGUUAAAACACCCUUGUUGCUUUGGCGUGGACCGCCGCUGUAAAAAGCGGCUGCCGGUCUUAGGCCCGGCAUGCGCCCGCCAGAGGUAAUACAAACUCUUGUCUUUAACCAGUCGUCUGAGUUAUAAUUUAAAUAAAUU
rnacentral:misc_RNA from 1 species